GAUGCAAACUGCGAAUACCGGAGAAUGUUAUCACGGGAGACACACGGCGGGUGCUAACGUCCGUCGUGAAGAGGGAAACAACCCAGACCGCCAGCUAAGGUCCCAAAGUCAUGGUUAAGUGGGAAACAGAAAAUUUCUCGCUCCUGUUUCGGCAUAGCGGAAGGCAGCGUUAAAAUCAGGGUGCGUAGCUGGCGCGGCGAGGCGGGAAAGCCGAGUCG
rnacentral:rRNA from 1 species